UUGUCCAGAAAGAGUUCGCUGCUUAAAAAAUGAGUGCACAUCCAAAAUUGUACCAGUUCGAAGUUCUGGCACUGUCACGAAAAAGUUUUCAACGAUCCAGGGAAAUGUUUGCUUUAUUAUAAUUACAGCCUCAGAUCACAGUGUUUGUUUAUAAUCAGGUCUAGAUGUUAUAAUACGACAGAAGAGGUUGUAGAGCUACAUACAAUCACUGCCCCUAGAUAUAAAAGCAUAUUUGGUCAAAUACAAGGAGCCUUCUGAGGUACCAGUAAUCCCUCAAGCCUCAUGAGAGCGACCAAGAUCUGGUCCAUGUCAUGAGUUUGGUAAACAUCACAACAGUAAAACUAUGAUCACAUGCUCAGAGUGUACACGAUUUGUGUGCAAAAAGCAUUCCACCUGCAAAACUAUUUGCAAUGCCUGCAACAUUCCAUUCAACGAAGCAUGACAUCUUAGUAUUUAUAUUUUCUAAAUGUUUGUUCAUCACUAUGUUUUUUAUACAACCUUGUUCCUAAUUAGUCAUAAGUAAUGAGUUAUAAUUGAAACAUUCACUUAAGUAUUAUGUUUACCAUCAUGAGUCAUUUGUAACAGUUGUAGUACUUAAAUUUUAUUGCUAUUAAAUAUUUUAAAAAUA